AUGAUGAGGCCUUGGCAAGCUCUCUCCCAGCUCGCCGUCCUCCUCCUCUUCCUCCUCGUCUCGUCCAGCGCCGUCUCCACUCUGGACGACACCUGCAAGUCGGUCAGCGCGAGUAACAAGGACGUCGGCUACGACUACUGCGUCAAGUUCUUCCAGGCGUGCAAGGGCAGCGCCACCGCGGACAAGCGCGGCCUGGCCGUCAUCGCCACGAAGAUCAUCCGAGCGGCGGCCGUGAGCACCGGCAGGCGCAUCGCGACCAUCAAGGCAUCGAAAGGGGACGACAAGAGGAUCCAGGGGCCGCUCGCCGACUGCGACGAGCUGUACUCGAGCGCCGUGGACCAGCUCGACGCGGCGGCGAGGGGCAUCUCGUCGGGGAAGUUGCAGGACGCCCUGACGAACCUCAGCGCCGCUGCGGACGCGCCACAGACCUGCGAGGAAGGGUUUCGCGAGCUGGGCGUGAGUUCGCCGCUGGCCGACGAGGACUCCAAGUUCAGUAAGGAGUGCUCCAUCGCUCUCGCUGUAACGAACACGUUGUAA
rnacentral:rRNA from 1 species